rnacentral:rRNA from 1 species
UACGAAGGGGGCUAGCGUUGUUCGGAAUUACUGGGCGUAAAGGGCGCGUAGGCGGUGUGUCAAGUCAGGCGUGAAAGCCCCGGGCUCAACCUGGGAACCGCGCUUGAGACUGGCACGCUAGAGUUCGGGAGAGGAUGGUGGAAUUCCCAGUGUAGAGGUGAAAAUUCGUAGAUAUUGGGAAGAACACCGAUGGCGAAGGCAGCCAUCUGGACCGACACUGACGCUGAGGCGCGAAAGCGUGGGGAGCAAACAGG